GUCAUGGCUCAGGGUGAACGCUAGCUACAGGCUUAACACAUGCAAGUCGGGGGGCAGCAUGGUCUUAGCUUGCUAAGGCCGAUGGCGACCGGCGCACGGGUGAGUAACACGUAUCCAACCUGCCGUCUACUCUUGGACAGCCUUCUGAAAGGAAGAUUAAUACAAGAUGGCAUCAUGAGUUCGCAUGUUCACAUGAUUAAAGGUAUUCCGGUAGACGAUGGGGAUGCGUU
rnacentral:rRNA from 1 species